rnacentral:rRNA from 1 species
UGGGCGUAAGGGCUCGCAGGCGGUUUCUUAAGUCUGAUGUGAAAGCCCCCGGCUCAACCGGGGAGGGUCAUUGGAAACUGGGAAACUUGAGUGCACAAGAGGAGAGUGGAAUUCCACGUGUAGCGGUGAAAUGCGUAGAGAUGUGGAGGAACACCAGUGGCGAAGGCGACUCUCUGGUCUGUAACUGACGCUGAGGAGCGAAAGCGUGGGGAGCGAACAGGAUUAGAUACCCUGGUAGUCCACGCCGUAAACGAUGAGUGCUAAGUGUUAGGGGGUUUCCGCCCCUUAGUGCUGCAGCUAACGCAUUAAGCACUCCGCCUGGGGAGUACGGUCGCAAGACUGAAACUCAAAGGAAUUGACGGGGGCCCGCACAAGCGGUGGAGCAUGUGGUUUAAUUCGAAGCAACGCGAAGAACCUUACCAGGUCUUGACAUCCUCUGACAGCCCUAGAGAUAGGGCUUUCCCUUCGGGGACAGAGUGACAGGUGGUGCAUGGUUGUCGUCAGCUCGUGUCGUGAGAUGUUGGGUUAAGUCCCGCAACGAG